rnacentral:rRNA from 1 species
UACGGGGGGGGCAAGCGUUGUUCGGAAUUACUGGGCGUAAAGGGCUCGUAGGCGGCCAACUAAGUCAGACGUGAAAUCCCUCGGCUUAACCGGGGAACUGCGUCUGAUACUGGUUGGCUUGAAUCCGGGAGAGGGAUGCGGAAUUCCAGGUGUAGCGGUGAAAUGCGUAGAUAUCUGGAGGAACACCGGUGGCGAAGGCGGCGA